rnacentral:rRNA from 1 species
UACGAAGGGGGCUAGCGUUGCUCGGAAUUACUGGGCGUAAAGCGUGCGCAGGCGGCUUCUCAAGUCAGGGGUGAAAGCCCAGAGCUCAACUCUGGAAUUGCCUUUGAGACUGAGUGGCUUGAGUGCAGAAGAGGAAAGCGGAAUUCCACGUGUAGCGGUGAAAUGCGUAGAGAUGUGGAGGGAACACCAGUGGCGAAGGCGGCUUUCUGGUCUGUAACUGACGCUGAGGCGCGAAAGCGUGGGGAGCAAACAGG